rnacentral:rRNA from 1 species
AUUGAACGCUGGCGGCAUGCUUUACACAUGCAAGUCGAACGGUAACAGGUUAAGCUGACGAGUGGCGAACGGGUGAGUAAUGCAUCGGAACGUGCCCGGUCGUGGGGGAUAACGCAGCGAAAGCUGCGCUAAUACCGCAUACGAUCUGAGGAUGAAAGCGGGGGACCGUAAGGCCUCGCGCGAUCGGAGCGGCCGAUGUCAGGUUAGGUAGUUGGUGGGGUAAAGGCUCACCAAGCCAACGAUCUGGAGCUGGUCUGAGAGGACGACCAACCACACUGGGACUGAGACACGGCCCAGACUCCUACGGGAGGCAGCAGUGGGGAAUUUUGGACAAUGGGCGAAAGCCUGAUCCAGCAAUGCCGCGUGCAGGAAGAAGGCCUUCGGGUUGUAAACUGCUUUUGUACGGAGCGAAAAGGUCUCCUCUAAUACAGGGGGCUCAUGACGGUACCGUAAGAAUAAGCACCGGCUAACUACGUGCCAGCAGCCGCCGUAA